rnacentral:lncRNA from 13 species
GAGGGUUGCCCAGCGCUGGCGCGAGCACACACACGGAGCCCGGUUGCAGCGCGUGUGUGUCGAGGCCGAACAGGUGCUCUCCAGACAAAUUUUAGCAGGCAAGUGGUGUGUGUGUGCCAGUGAGCCCUCCUCUUAAGUCGUACCCUGACUUCAAACAAACACACGACAGCCUUGUAUAUAUCCAAGUCCCAACUCUCACACUGACUGGCAUAGUGCCUCCCUCUACCUCUACAACAUGGCGAUUAUCUUCUCCUGCUAGACCAGUGGUUCCAGCACAUGGGGUCAGGUUUUUAUCUUCAAAUGGGUAUAGAAUACAACAUGUUAGUGUCUACUAAUGGCCUUUUACCCUAUUAGAAUGAGCUUUCAUGUCAUUGUGUUGGGACAGCCUUCGGGACCUAAAAUUGAGUGAAUAUGAACAGUCUUAACUGGGGAAUAUCAUUUUUCCAAGUUGUGUCCCCUGCAUUUUCUAGUGUGAAUUUGGGGUUGUGUGCAAAAAAGGUUUGGAAACGCCUGUGCUAAACAGCUGGCAUUCACACAUUAAAUAGUUCCUUUUGAUAUGUGCUAGCUAGUAGUGCCAGAGCUGUCGGUCUGUUUUCCUCGUCGAGUCUUUGGGUUUCAAACCUGUCUGGCGCUAGCAUGCACUGGCUUGCACGGAAGUGACACAAUUUUGGGCCAGCGGCUAAUGAAGUGUCUAUUAGAGUCAUUGGGAUGAUGAAUGUCUUUUGGCCUCAUCUCCUCUCACCAGUGGCCUUUGGGAGGUGGCACCAGGAGUUUGCCCGGGCAGACUGCGGGCACAGACUGGUGCAGAGGUGGCACCACCUGCUGGAGUGGAGGAGGCUGCAGGAGGCGUUUACAUCCUGGAACCGCAGGGUCCUGGUCAGGAGAGGGGCCCUAGAGAUACAGGAGAGAAGGCAACGGGCACAGCUCUCACACAUCCUGCGUGGCUGGCGGGGUGUGGCCGAGCGAAGGGCGGCGUGCGUGUGUUACUGCAGCGAGAGGAAUGAUCGGAUGGCCGCACACACCCUGCAGAGCUGGAGGAGAGCCACAGCGCUACGGUCCCGACACACACGCCUCCUCACACACCUGCUGGAGAGGAGGAGGACACAGGCGCUGACCCUAGGGACACUGACAGGGAAUAUGAGGCCGAGUGAGGCGGUGACGCCAAGGUUGUAUGGUGGUGCCAGGCUCAUCACAUUGGAGGAGUUGUGUGACAACCUGCAGCUCCAGGCAAGCCUUCACUCCUGGAGGAGGGAGAAGAGCAAGCUCCAGCUAGCCAGGUAGCUAUCACCACACUGCUGCUCUCUCGUCUUGGACUCUCCCCCCCCCCCCCC